UCUGAAUAGUGUUAUCAGGGAUGUCAUUCUGAAUAGUGUUAUCAGGGAUGUCAUUCUGAAUAGUUAUCAGGGAUGUCAUUCUGAAUAGUGUUAUCAGGGAUGUCAUUCUGAAUAGUGUUAUCAGGGAUGUCAUUCUGAAUAGACAAUCUCAGAGAAACCUUAUGAGGUCAACAAUUAAUAAGGUUUUCUGACUGAACUCAACCAUGAUAUUAUAGAUAUUAGUUAUUUCAAUUCUCCACAUCCAGUCUGUUGUGGAAAAGGACGAACCAUUAAUCUCCACAAUGCUGUAGUACACAGUACAGCCACCAAUCGGACGGGUGGCCCACGGUAUACAAAAAAAAAAUAUUCCCAAAAGGAUCAAUCGUGGUGAUUUAUUAAAUCGUUUCCGUGGCUGUUUUUAUUAUCAAUGUGAUGAUUGAUUACCGAAGUCAUGACGUGUGGUUUUCAUUUGUGAUGAUUGAUUACCGAAGUCAUGAUGUGUGGUUUUCAUUUGUGAUGAUUGAUUACCGAAGAUCUGUUUGGUUGUGGAAAAUCGUCAUUACAUUUUUCUGGGUCCAACUAUCGAUAUCCUACAUAUCCAUUGAUCGAUCCCCUGGUAGAUCAUCAAUAACAUCCAUUUAGUUAGUGCAUGACUAAGUUAUUGGAUUAUAAAUAUAUUAUUUUUGAGUAAUAAAACACCUGACAAACAAGCAAUAGUACUCUUCAGAGGUUAUAGCCACUGAGCUAUGGUUAUAACUGGUUAUAGCCACUGAACUAUGGUUAUAACUGGUUAUAGCCAGAGCCAUGGUUAUAACUGGUUACAAGGGCCCUAAGGAGCGCCGUAGGCAAGUUAUUAGCGGUCGUAGCAUAUGUGGUCAGUGAGGUGUGUGUUUUGAGGAUCUCUGUACUGUAUUUUGAUAACAUUUGUAUUCUACUGGUAGGUGGGUGUGGCGCUCCCUGGUGGCCAGGGAGGGCAAAGCCUGCAUGUCCAUUCUGAUGUUUCUAGUGUAUUUAAUAAACAUUUUACACCCUCAACCUACUGCUCCUGUUGGACUGUAUUAAAGAUUGUAUAGUAAGCCUUACCCAUCUGUGGUAUUGAUAUAAUACAUAACACUCUGCUGAAUGCUAGACCUAUUUCAUCUGUUAGACCUAUUUCAUCUGCUAGACCUAUUUCAUCU
ensembl:lncRNA